UAGUAGCGUGAACGCGAGAGAUCAUACGUGGACUGGGGGUAGGCAUAGCUCGCUUUUUUUUGUUCCUCCCUCGGCGAAAGGACGCACUAACACUUGUUUCUACCUGCCCGCAAGACCGGGAUAACUCCGGGUAACCGGAGCUAAUACCGGAUAACACCAAAGACCGCAUGGUCUUUGGUUGAAAGGCGGCUUCGGCUGUCACUUGCGGAUGGGCCCGCGGCGCAUUAGCUAGUUGGUGAGGUAACGGCUCACCAAGGCGACGAUGCGUAGCCGGCCUGAGAGGGUGACCGGCCACACUGGGACUGAGACACGGCCCAGACUCCUACGGGAGGCAGCAGUAGGGAAUCUUCCGCAAUGGACGAAAGUCUGACGGAGCGACGCCGCGUGAGCGAAGAAGGCCUUCGGGUCGUAAAGCUCUGUUGUGAGGGACGAAGGAGCGCCGUUUGAAUAAGGCGGCGCGGUGACGGUACCUCACGAGAAAGCCCCGGCUAACUACGUGCCAGCAGCCGCGGUAAUACGUAGGGGGCGAGCGUUGUCCGGAAUUAUUGGGCGUAAAGCGCGCGCAGGCGGUCCUUUAAUCUGAUGUGAAAGCCCACGGCUCAACCGUGGAGGGUCAUUGGAAACUGGGGGGACUUGAGUGCAGGAGAGGAGAGCGGAAUUCCACGUGUAGCGGUGAAAUGCGGUAGAGAUGUGGAGGAACACCAGUGGCGAAAGCGGCUCUCUUGCCUGUAACUGACGCUUAAGCGCGAAAGCGUGGGGGAGCAACAAGAUUAGAUACCGUGGUAGUCCACGCCUGAAACGAUAAGUGGUAAU
rnacentral:rRNA from 1 species